AGAAUGAUCAGGGAAGACAUGACUGAAAUGAUGCUUUCUGGGUAAAGAUUGAAGGAGAUGAGGAGUGGGUCAUAUAGCUGUUUGAGGGAAGAGCAUUCUUGGCAGAGGGAAAUGCCAGGCCAAAGUCUCAAUGGCAGGACUACACUAGAAGAGAUAAAAUGUUCUACAGGAAUCCAAGCUUGUCAUUCACUCAGGCCCUCACUUGGUGGCAGUAUGUUAGAGAAGACAGGUUGUUCCAGAGCCUGGUUCUCAGCUUCGCAAUCUCCAGAUGGUUCAUUCUAGCCACAUGUGCAAGGAUGUGGUAUACUAGAGUACACAUUGAUUACUUGAACUUCCUUGAAAUAUCAUUUUCAAGACAAGACUACUAAGGACUAAUCUUCAUCAUCAUCAUCAUUAACAUCAUCACAGCUGACAUUUACUGAACAUUAGCAAUGUGGUAAGCACUGCAGUAAGAGUUUUCAUGUGUCUACUCAUGUAAUCCUCAAUGGAACCUUAAAGAAGACUACAAUGCCAGCAUCUGGGAUAACUACUAGAAUGUUCUCUGCCAUCCACUAAGCAUUGAAUCCCUCCAGACACUGUUACAACAGACAAAAACCUGUAUUGGGCUAC
rnacentral:antisense_RNA from 1 species